UUUCCCCCCCUUUUUUUUUACAUUUUUCGUGAUUUUUUCCCCUUUUUUAUUUUGAUUUCCCCCCCCCAUUUCCCCCCAAUUUUUAUUCUUUUUUCUCAUUUUCUGACCCAUUUUUCCCCUUUUCUCUCCCCUCCCCCCGGAAGCGCCUCUUCGCCGCUUUUGGGUGAAAAAAACCCCAAAAAGGGGAACCGAAAAUGCCGAAAAUUCAAAUUUCGCUGCUCGGGGGCGGCCAAAACCUCCGAAUUUCACCUGAAAAAUCCGAAUUUCAGCCCAAAACCUCCGAAUUUCAGCCCAAAAAUCUGAACUCGGCGCCGGAACAGGAUUUGGGGUUCGGCGCCGCCAUGGCCCAGCCGGGGCCCUACGGGAACUGGAUCGGCCCCGGGCGGCUCCAGCGGCAGCCGGGAAUUUACUCCGUGGCCGGGAGGAUUUCCCCAGUGGGCGACUUCAGACCCGCCUCUCCCGACAGUUUCGAGGCCGAUUACGACGACGUUUCCAUGGCGGGAUCCGAGCGGGGCCCCCCGGCCAAAGGCGUUUAUCUCCUGGCGGGGCCUCCCCAGGAGGAUCCCGAAGAUUCCCAACGGAAAUUUGGGAAUUCCGAGCCCGAAUCCGGGAAUUCUGACCGGAAAUCCGGGAAUGGGGACCGGAAAUCCGGGAACUCGGACCGGAAAUCCGGGCAGCGGGACCGGAAGUGCGGGCCAUGGGCAAUGGCGGCCGCCAUGGCGCUGCUGGGCCUGGCCUGGGGGGGGCUCCUGGCGGCGGCCGUGGGGAAACACCAGGCGCUGUGGGCGGAGCUGGAGCUGCUGAAAUCGAAUUUUUCGGCUGUUCUGGAUUCCCUGCAGCAGGAGCAGACCCGGCUCCAUUUCGGGAUCCGGCAGCACCAACUGGAGCAGGAGGAGCAGGCCGAUUUGCUGUGCCGGGCCCUGGGCAGCUCCCGGCGCUGCGGGCCGGGCUGGCGCUCCCACGCCGGCUCCUGUUAUUCCUUCUGCCGGCUUUUCCCGGGGAUUUUUCCAUGGAAUUUUUCGGGGAUUUUUCCAUGGAAUUUUUCCCGGAUUUUUUGGGAUAAUUCCGUGUUUUUCCCAGAUUUGCUGUGCCGGGCCCUGGGCAGCUCCCGGCGCUGCGGGGCCGUUUCCUGGGGUUUAUUCCAGGAUCAUUUCCCCAUUUCCCGGGGAUUUUUCCAUGGAAUUUUUUGGGGAUUUUUCCAGGGGAUUUUUCCAUGGAAUUUUUCCGGGAUUUUUUGGGAUCAUUCCCUGUUUUCCCAGAUUUGCUGUGCCGGGCCCUGGGCAGCUCCCGGCGCUGCGGGGCCGUUUCCCGGGGUUUAUUCCAGGAUCAUUUCCCCAAUUCCCGGGGAUUUUUUCCAUGGAAUUUUUUUGGGAUUUUUUAGGGAUAUUUUUCCAGGUUUUCCGUGUUUUUCCCAGAUUUGCUGUGCCGGGCCCUGGGCAGCUCCCGGCGCUGCGGGCCGGGCUGGCGCUCCCACGCCGGCUCCUGUUAUUCCUUCUCGGGGCUGGCGCUGA
rnacentral:lncRNA from 1 species